UGGAAUUGCCUUUAUUGACUUUUAGAAUACCUCCGCGUGGGCUCAGUUUUGACUACUUUUAUGAAAGACAGAGGGUACGGCUUGCAACCUAGAACUCCAGAGCAACUCAGGACCUAGCAAGGACAUUGUCCAUCCACCACCUCUUAUCUUUUGCAUAUUCCAAAGAAGGUUGGGAAGAGAAGUUGGAGCUGACCGUAAAAGCACUACGAGGAUGGAGGCGGGGCAAAGCAGAGGCACACACUCUGGCACUGGGAAAAGAAACAAAAACUAACCUGGAAGACCGUAGCAGUCCACAAAUCGUACAGAGUAAGAGGAAUUUGCCUCAAACACAUACCAUCUGUUCAGUUUUAUUUCCCUUUCUAUUGAAACAUGAAGUGAUUGUCCAAAGGGCCCCCUCAACAACACGGAGAAAGAGUCCCAACUAGAAUAAGAACUUGAGACCGUAAGUCCAGUGCUCAUUGGACGUCCACCUCGUUCACAAAUUCCUACAGCUAGGAUCCCCUGUACCCACCCAUGCUCUCCUACUAUUUUUUCUCAAGACCUCUGCGACAGUAGUCUUUUUAAAAAGAAGCUAAAUAACAAAUCACUUUCACUUCUCUAUUCAAACCACCCAACGGAUCUUGAUAUCACACAGAGAAAAAGGUGCAGUCCUUACGGGUCAUCCACCAUCUGAAUGUAAGCUCUACAAAGCGAAGAGGUUUUUCUCCUUUUGCUCACUGCUGAAUGCCUCCAUCAAAAAUAAAGCUUACUCUACAGAAAGAGUCGACAACUAUUUCUAGAACAAAUGAGCAAAACAGAAAGACAAUUAACACUCUCUUCAUACUCCGCGUCAUAACUCACCGGCUUUCUGAUCUUAGGCCGAUCACUGACAUCUUACCUAACUAACCUUCUGACCUUCAACAAUGGCCAAAAUUAUUAUGGCUUCCUCUUAUAGAAUAUAUUAUUUGGCAAAAUGCAAGUUCCUUGGGGACCAGGAAUUUUGAAACGUUCAUCAGGAUGUCCUCUGGGGCUCGUAGAAAGUUGUUUGCUCGGUGCUCCAGGGAAUGGGUAACCAGCAGAAGCAGCGAACAACCACAGCUGAAAAACAGGGCGUUUUCAGGAUACAGACUGGCUGGGAUCAGAAGCGGAACUGCUUAUCGAGAAGCCAUCUCUUCCCCAACUUGUGACUUUAAGGAUGAGUGGGCAUUUUUGCAAAGGUUCAUUAGUGGAUUAGGAGAGAUUUGAAACUGAGCCCAGUGGAGUCAGCAGAGACAAGUUCCAAACAGCCACUCAGCGCAUUUUGAAAAGUACCAAGCUAGCAACCUGGAAAAGAUCCACCAGUAAAAUUUGGUUGUACUUGUGUGCGUGGAGCCCCACUGGACUGACAAAACAUCCACUUCUAGAUGGACGGGAGCGGCAACAUGGCCCCAAACCAACAACGCAAAAGCUGUUGUGUUCCAUAAUCCACCCCAGCAGGGCUUGCCCCAAGUGGAGAGAAGCAGACUGCCUGGGGCACACCUGUUGCUGGAGCUCAUCUGACAUGUGGACACAGGAGCUUGCAGUGGUGUUCACAGGACCGAUGCACUGACUAUGGUCUCCGGGAAAUGCCAAUGGUGAAGUUAAGUAUAUCUUGAGAUUUAGUGUUCAUUUUAAAGAAAACACCCAAUGUACUGGCAUGAAGUGCAGAUUACUAACAGAAAAGAAGCAGCACAGUUCUGCUAUGUAUGUGUAAGGAAGGGAAGGGGUUAAUCCCAAAGGCAAUUUAAAUAAUGGUAUUUUAUUUUUUUAUAUAUAAACAAAUGUUCUGAGAAAUCUCAGACUUUAGUGCAUUGUUGUAAAAAAAUAGUAAAAUAUGUAAAAAUUCCUGGGGCUGGGUCACUCUGGGGCCCUGGGUCUGGGCUUCAGUUCCAGAAAAGCAGCCUGGCGAGACGGUCAAUUCUGCUGACAGGCACAGUAUUGUUUCCACUGUGUGGUAUGAGAAUGGGCUAUUGGAAUGGUGCUGACACGCUGAUAUUGACGUUCUCACUCACUUGG